rnacentral:rRNA from 1 species
UCCCUACGGGGUGCAGCAGGCGCGAAAACUUUACAAUGCGGGCAACCGUGAUAAGGGAACCUCGAGUGCCUGUAUAUGCAGGCUGUCCAGGUGUCUAAAUAACACCUGAAGAAAGGGCCGGGCAAGACCGGUGCCAGCCGCCGCGGUAAUUCA